rnacentral:rRNA from 1 species
UACGUAGGGGGCAAGCGUUGUCCGGAAUUAUUGGGCGUAAAGGGCGCGUAGGCGGCUUUUCAAGUGACGGGUGAAAUCCCUCGGCUUAACCGAGGAACUGCCUGUCAGACUGGAAGGCUUGAGACCGGGAGAGGUGAGUGGAAUUCCCAGUGUAGCGGUGAAAUGCGUAGAUAUUGGGAGGAACACCAGUGGCGAAGGCGGCUCACUGGACCGGAACUGACGCUGAGGCGCGAAAGCGUGGGGAGCAAACAGG